rnacentral:misc_RNA from 1 species
CUAAAACCCAAACAUACUCUGCAGUUUCCUCUUGACACCUCCAUCCCUUCUCCUCUCCAUAAAUUGCAUGGGACGGGAAAUUUUCUUGAAUUAUCUUCACCAUGGAUUCCUCCGCCGCUUGAUCAGCAAUUGUUACCGGACUUAAAUCUUCUUUAUCGAGAAUAUCGAAGCUUUUCCUGAAGUAUUUACGGAUUACUUCACCAGCAGCAUCAGCAAUUUUGUUACCAACAGCUGCGAAUUUGCCGAGCUCAGAGUCCUCAACUCCAAAAUCAACGAUUUGUGCUUGAUUAGAAGGAAGCACACAAUUCGAAGUCAUCACAGGCGACGCCAAUUUGAUUCCGUGCGAGAUCGGGAACGAAUGGAUACCGGAAUGUUGAAAAGCAAGCGAACCGGAGACGAUUUUCCGGGUAUUACAGCCGCCGGAGAAGGCGGAGAAUGAUGAGGAAAGAGGUGAAGAGUUGCGGGGAUAUAGAGAAAGGAAGUGAGAUUGAGAAAGCAUCUGCAUUUGGAGGGCUUUGUUUAAUAGGCGGGAAAAGGACCGAGUUCACGAGACAAAGAUCGGGUGGGAGUUGAGAGUAAGAAAGAGCACUGAUGCGUAAUGAAUAAAGCGGCUUAUUGAAUGAAAAGGGCAAGUAUGGAAGA